GAAACUCUGUGGAGAUACUAUAACUGAUUAUGUCCCUUUUCUGAUUAAAUUUUAAAGAUCGAUUGGCAUAAUUGUGAGCGGAAACGGUGCUAUUAGACAUCCAUUAUAAUACAUAUGACGAUGUUUAAUAUUAAAACAAUUUAAUCAAUUUAAGAUUACACAUACAAUGUUCCGUGGACUAUUUUUGCUUGAUUACAAU
rnacentral:lncRNA from 1 species